rnacentral:rRNA from 1 species
UACGUAGGGGGCAAGCGUUGUCCGGAAUCAUUGGGCGUAAAGCGCGUGUAGGCGGCUGAGUAAGUCUGCUCUGAAAGCCCGGGGCUCAACCCCGGGAGGCGGGUGGAUACUGCUCAGCUCGAGUCCGGAAGAGGAGUGUGGAAUUCCUGGUGUAGCGGUGAAAUGCGCAGAUAUCAGGAGGAACACCAAUGGCGAAGGCAGCACUCUGGGACGGUACUGACGCUGAGACGCGAAAGCGUGGGGAG